GACGAACGCUGGCGGCGUGCUUAACACAUGCAAGUCGAGCGGUAAGGCCCUUUCGGGGGUACACGAGCGGCGAACGGGUGAGUAACACGUGGGUGACCUGCCCUCAGCUCUGGGAUAAGCCUGGGAAACCGGGUCUAAUACUGGAUAUGACUCCAUGACGCAUGUUGUGGGGUGGAAAGCCUUGUGCGGCUGAGGAUGGGCCCGCGGCCUAUCAGCUUGUUGGUGGGGUGAUGGCCUACCAAGGCGACGACGGGUAGCCGGCCUGAGAGGGCGACCGGCCACACUGGGACUGAGACACGGCCCAGACUCCUACGGGAGGCAGCAGUGGGGAAUCUUGCGCAAUGGGCGAAAGCCUGACGCAGCGACGCCGCGUGAGGGAUGACGGCCUGGUGU
rnacentral:rRNA from 1 species